rnacentral:rRNA from 1 species
AGCGAACGCUGGCGGCGUGCCUAACACAUGCAAGUCGAGCGCGGGCAUUUCGGGGGUAACCCCGGGAUGUGCUGAGCGGCGGACGAGUGAGUAAUACGUGGACAACCUGCCUUAAAGCUUGGGAUAACUCCGGGAAACUGGAGCUAAUACCGGAUAAGACCACGGUGUCUAUGGAUGCUGAGGUAAAAGGCGGCCAGGAAACUGGCUGUUGCUUAAAGAUGGGUCCACGUCCCAUCAGGUAGUUGGUGAGGUAAAGGCUCACCAAGCCAAAGACGGGUAGCUGGCCUUAGCGGGUGGUCAGCCACACGGGGACUGAGACACGGCCCCGACUCCUACGGGAGGCAGCAGUGGGAAUAUUGGGCAAUGGGCGAAAGCCUGACCCAGCGACGCCGCGUGGGGGAUGAAGGCCUCGGGUCGUAACCUUGUCUAGGGGGACGAGUGGGUCGUGUGAGCUAAUACCUCACAGACUUGACGGUACCU